rnacentral:rRNA from 2 species
UGGGGAAUAUUGCACAAUGGAGGGAACUCUGAUGCAGCGACGCCGCGUGAGUGAUGAAGGACUUCGUUUCGUAAAACUCUGUUCUAUGGGAAGAAAAGGACUGUACCAUAGGAGAAAGCUCCGGCUAAAUACGUGCCAGCAGCCGCGGUAAUACGUAUGGAGCGAGCGUUGUCCGGAAUUAUUGGGCGUAAAGGGUGCGCAGGCGGCUUUACAAGUUGGAUGUGAAAUAUUGUGGCUCAACCACAAACGUGCAUCCAAAACUGCAAAGCUUGAGUUAAGGAGAGGUAAGUGGAAUUCCUGGUGUAGCGGUGGAAUGCGUAGAUAUCAGGAGGAAUACCGGUGGCGAAGGCGACUUACUGGACUUAAACUGACGCUCAGGCACGAAAGCGUGGGGAGCAAACAGG